GCCAGCAGCUACAGUGUAUCACCCUGCAACUCACAAAUGGCAACUCACUGAAGUUAAGCAGGUGUGAGCCUGGCCAGUACCUGGAUGGGAGUCCUCCUGGGAAAACUAAGGUUGCUGCUGGAA
rnacentral:rRNA from 1 species